UACGAAGGGGGCUAGCGUUGCUCGGAAUCACUGGGCGUAAAGCGCACGUAGGCGGCUUUCUAAGUCAGGGGUGAAAUCCUGGAGCUCAACUCCAGAACUGCCUUUGAUACUGGAGAGCUUGAGUCCGGAAGAGGUGAGUGGAACUCCGAGUGUAGAGGUGAAAUUCGUAGAUAUUCGGAAGAACACCAGGUGGCGAAGGCGGCUCACUGGUCCGGUACUGACGCUGAGGUGCGAAAGCGUGGGGAGCAAACAGGG
rnacentral:rRNA from 1 species